CCUAACCCUUUGCUACGUUUUGUCGGGGCUGAACUCGGCCCAGACCGUCUUUUGUCUGGCCGACAGUCCAAAACUAGAAGAUAUUUAAUUUUAUAGUAGCCAUACAGACAGGCAGCCAUUCCUUACAUUUAAAAUGGAACCAGAUAAUGUUUGGCAUUUCAUCUAAAAAAUCUAUUAUUAAAGUAACUGAUUUAUUUUCUUAAUUAUUUUUUGCUUCAGCAUUUUAAAAAGGUUGAUUUCAGCAUUGAGACAUUUUCUUUUGUUCAGAUUCAGAUAGACUUAAGGAAAAACUCUCCCCCAAAAUCCCCUUUCAAUGGGGGAAAAAUGUAAGAAACCUCAAGAAGAGCAACAGAGAAUCGGGAUGAGUUCCCUCACCCAGGACGGACAGGAAAUAGAUGUCAUGUGUAGGCCCGACAGGAUCAUGGUAAAAUUACAGUUAGCCUAUGACAAUCAGGAUGACAAAAGAUAAACUCUUAAUAUAUGAAGGAUAUGGAUCUUGGGGGACGUCCAGCAACUUUCAGAUGCCACCAAACAGGCUAUCUGCCUCGAAGCUGCAGUUUGAUGUACCUCCACAAGAUGGCAGCAGAGAUCACAACAUAACUUCAUUCAAAUGAAUUCCAGCAUUUAUUGGUUUGUUCAUUCUGGGCUACUGUGGACUCUUUGGAAGAGAACCUGCUCCCUCUGUAGACUUGAAGGGCUCAUUCUCAGUGAAGGAGCACGGGGAGGUCACUAGAGUCUACAAAGGGAUGAGAUGUACCCAAGGGACUAGCUUGCCUCAUGGACUCUUUUCAACCUUGGAGAAAUCGCUGUGGACAGCGAGAGGAGAGGAGGGUGUGUACUGCGAGGGAAACGCUCUGUUCUGAUUUUUCAAAAUGUGGAAGAAGAAUGCUCUUACUUGUGCAAGACAGAUAUCUUUCCCCCCACUCCUUAUGACCCUGUGUGCACAUUCAGCCGCUUCACACUUUCUUGUGAAUUAUAACUUACCUGAGAAAUGAAGACUGUAGCUAGCUUUGCCUUCUGUUUAUAGAGAAAAGACAAUAUUACCUAUUUUACAAUAUUUGCCUAUAAGAAUGAGGACUCUUAGAACCUGUAUAUGCUUCAGUUUGAAAAAUAUAUGUUUACAGUGCUACUGUUUACAUUGUAA